ensembl:lncRNA
CCCCUCCCUGCGGUGUGGCAAAGCACCUCCCUGAAAACUUGCCGCUUGGCUCCCAAACGCGGAGGAGGCAGGCGGAUUAAGAGCAUUAGUGCGAGUGCGCGGUGCCUUCUCAUUUGGCUGAAUACUCUGUGAUCCAUGAUGCACUUACAAGCUCACUCACCCACAUAACGAUGACAACUGUAUAUUGGCACACAAGGGCAGCGGCAGGCACCUCUUCUCUCACAUUCCCCUCUUGUUGUAGUGACAGUAGGAGAGGGCGGGGGGGGGUCGUACGGUUACUGCAACUUUAGCUCCUUCCUCUUGUAUGAAAAUCACAUGCGCCGUCUCACACACACACAUUCACACAUUCCGCGAAUGCAGGGCCACUGCGGGCCGGCGUCUCGCGUUACUGCUGCGAUCGCACAGCGGCGUGCCCGAGCAGGCCGGUCCCCAUCGCCACCUCCAGCUGCUGGAGAAAGACACUGAACUGGAACCAAACCCCUGAGCAGGAGGAUCGGGAGAGGUAAUAAUAUAAUGGCGACUGCGGAGGAAUCGGCUCACAUUUCCACUUCAUUGUCUUGAAAUUGCCCGGGAUCAGUUUGUGACGGACAACCAACGGCGGUUGAAAUUCAAAUUUCAAGGAGGGACUUCUUAUCAGGCCCCGUUGACAUGGACGCGCAGCGGGUGUUGACUUUCACAUGCUCAUACGGGCUGCAAACAAACCCAAGCAAAUAUUUUGGGCUUGUUUAAACAGAGUUCUUUAAGGCGCCAUGUGGUUGGUUUCAGAGCCCUUGACCUCUUCUUUAAAUCGAAUGCUGCAGAUAAAGAAAGCAGACAAAACUGUGUGCUAUGUAAAUAAGAUGCGUCUCUCCGUGGCCCACUAGAUAACCUCCUCACCAGACAGACAUCUUCCCCCGAACUACCGCCUGACACAGAACGAUACAAAGUGCCGUCGUGAGAGGAAGUGAUUGAACUCAUUCAGGAGUGGACGGCGCUGACGGCGCAACGGAGAGCAUCCGAUGUGUUGAAGCUACAUGCGACGAACAAAGAAAGCAGCGUUGGUUGUUCGUGCAGAGAGUUUGCAGCUACGUGAAGACAGAAUACCAGAGGUGAUCCUGAUGUGACACAACAACGCAGUUUGUUUGAGGUCGUUGGGCAGCAGCGUGGAGGCGGCGGGGUUAAUCAUGGUUGCUUGAUGACGACCCCCAAGCAGCCGAAGGGACUGAAGACAGGCGAAGAGACACACAGAAAGUCACUAAACCAGAUACGGCGUGUAUGCAGGCAGCCGCAGACCCAGUUAUGAGUAAGGACUCGAUCUGCGUGUGGGCGUGUGGAUGUGGGAACGCCACGCGCCCUCCUACAUUCAGAGUAAGGCUGAUUCACUCCAGCCGGCCUGUAGGACAUUUAGCUCACGGAGGACGCCAGUCUGGACAACUGCGCUAAAGAUAAAACGACAAAGGGCUCUUACGGGAGACUUGCAUCAGGCGUGCUCUCCCUCUCGGCGGUUCCUCUCGGGGAGCGAAGCGCUGUCAGCUUGUCUCCGGUUCGCGAGUCUUGAGCUGCUGACCUCCGCAGUUUGGCAGUCAGACACAGCGGGAGCCACACUGACCUCAUUCCUCAGGGGAAGACCGGCCCAAAGCGAGAGCGCCAAGAGGACCAGUGACAGACGGGAGCUCCGGUCACGUGCCUCCUGCUGUCUAGGAUAUUUAGACCAGAUGAAGCUGGACCCGACUGUGAAGUCCAGCAAGAAGGCCACGCGCACGCUUCAAAAGUGAGAAGUCAGCCAGUGGAAACGCUCUAGUGGCGGUGCCUUGGUGCACGUCAGACACAACAUGAGAAAGAGAGUUGCUUUUGAAAUGAUGUCCCAUGUAGGACUGCUCUUCUCAAUGUGUCUAGUACAUGUAUGUUUCAUUUCCUGUGAAUCCCUCGUGCAUGUGUGCUUGCCAUCGGACUCCAGCGCUGCACCCGGUGUAAUUAACAUGUUAAACACUAGGCAGCCGCCCAGGACAGAGAGACAGGGAGACCGACGGGAUACUAGAGAGAGACAGUGUUGUUUCUGUUCCCGUCAGGUUUAAAUUGACAGUCAGCAAAACAAGGCAACACUUUGGCAGCAGCCGGAGAGAAAGUGUGUGAACUGAAGCCACGCGGCCUCAGAGUCACUCAAACACAGACUUCUGAAACAGGGAUCGUGGGAUCAGAACGUGGCCUUCAACCAAAGCUGCCGUGUGUCACCCGUCCUGUCCUGGACCACGCGAUCAUCUGGAUGAGCGGAGAGGGAAUAGAGAACGUCCCCUCUGGCGUUUGUGACGUGUCCCUCAGGGCGGUCGCAUUGUUAAGCACAGACUGUGACAUCACAGCCGCUGACAUCUACAGCUUAGUCAUCGACAGCUACACUCACUCCGCUACGACCAAAACACAGAGUAGUUGGAAACAGGAUGGGGAAAAAAAGUCGUUUUGACCAUAAAGUGUCUCGAAAAAUGUCCGUCAAGACCACGAGCGAACGGUUUUGUCUUUAAAUUCCUUGUUUUGUCAUAACAAAUGCCAAAGACAGCCAACUUACAGAGAACAGAAAAAAGCAGCAAAUCCGCACAUUAAGCAAAUGUGUACGUUUAUGGAUGUAAACACUUUAUAAAUUAGGAUGAUCAAAAUGUUCUGAGCUGUGGUUGAGUGUGCAGUGAAUUACAGGAAAGAGUCCACAUGUCACAGGAACACUUUCAGGCAUGAAUUAUUUCUAUUUGGUACCAAACAGUCACGGCCUUGAAUCAAUUAACAUAAUUAGAAUUAAAAGAAUUACAUAAUUUGUAUUCACCCCAUUUAAAUGAUGGCUUCACUGUAGAGUUAUUCAGAAGUACUUAAGCAUGAGGUUUGAAAUAAUUUGGGCCUCUGGGUCUUCAGCUAAAACCCACCAGAAGCUUCUUUCCAGACACCACCAACACAUUUACUGUUUUCUCUCGUUCAAAUGAAGGAAACAAAGUCUCUGAGGAACUUUCAAAUGGCAGAUGUGAACAACAGCGGGCAGCUGUGCACCACGGUUACGUGCACCCUGCAUCCCGGUUUAAUAGCCUUGUGCUUUUUCCAUUAUGAUAUAAGCAAAUCCAGUCAGCAGACUGGUUGUCUUGUUUUUCCCAAAAUGAGCUCUCACUCUGAAGGGGCCCACAAAAAAAAGAAAGAAAAAAAGACCCAACGCUGGCAAACAAGAGGAUCUCUCCAGACUGCAGGCUGCACAUUCCUGCCCUGGGAAUGAUCAACACGGGGAAGUUGAAGGUGGUUUGUUUGUUGCCGUUGCCCAAGGUGAACCGCUUCUGCAGGUGUGUGUCAGCCAGUUAUAAAGGCAACGUACAGUCUACUUUACUCACUUAUUACUCACAUUAUUCACUGCGAGGAUGGAGCAAUAGCCCAGCCGAAUGUCUCUCAAUCAAAGGAGACAAGGCCCGGACGGACAUGGAAUAUCAUUCAAAUUAUUCGGUCUGUAACUGACCUUCGACCUUUAAGCAAAGAUGAAAAAGAACAGAAAUGUAUUCACGUCAUCCGGUUAAAGACAGUUUUUAGGAUGACUCGCUACUCAAAGAGAACGCACAGGUCUACUAGAGCUGCUCCAUCUGGCCUUCACUCCUUCCUCUUUUUAAUGCUCCUCUACACUCAUAUCCUCCAGUGAUGAAGUUUCCUCUUUAUUUGCAACAGGCGUCAUGUCACAUCUUCCUUACAUCCUCCUGUGGAAACCAGCCUGAUUUCCCAACCCCCCCCCCCCCUCCGUGAAAUGCACCUCUGCAGGAGGUGGUUUCAGAAAGAUUAGAGACCUUCGGCGGGUUAAAUAGGGCGUGAACAUCUCGCGGAGGGUCACGAACCUCAGGCAGCAGAACACAGCACCUCGGUCAUGUAAAUUACCACGCUGCACAACAAUGGAGCACGGAUAACAAUCCGCCUACACUUUGCUACGAAACACACAAAUCCUGUAACGUUAGUUAGAUACUAUGAUGUCAAAAUGACUCUCCUAGACUUUAAAAACUUACUUUGCUGAGAAAUACUUCUAACGUUACCGUCGACUUGUAACGCGUCCUUUGAUUUGCUCUGUUCCUUCUGUGUUAGCUUAAUAAAAACCUUCUUUGGUCACAAGUCGCGCAUUUUAUUCACACCACCACUUUCGCGUCAGAGGCCGACUCACCCGCGUCCACGCUUCUUUUGGGCGGUCGGUGUGUGUUUAUCUCCGGGUGUCGCAGCGGUAACUUCUGGACACACGCAGCGGUCGAAUCGCCUUAUCGACGUCAAAUCGAGUCCGCUUUCACAGAAACUUUCAAUGUUGGCGCGGUUGACACCAUUCAUGACCCCCAACCGACCAAACGGUAACACAAACCCGGGCUUUCUACGCUUAUGAAACAACCUUCGAAAUGAUGCAAUAUUGAGAAGACAUGUUUAACUGACCGUUUGAAGGACUCUGAAACGCUUUGUGCCUUUUGCGUUAUAGUUUAUUUAAAAGAGACCACCCCUUAAAUCCACCCCACGUUGGUACGGUCGGGUUUUCUUCCCAUUGGUCAGCCGGGGCCGUUUACAGUUUUGGAAGACGCCGCGUGCCCGAUACCUUGGUAACCACUUUCCCUCGCGAGACGAUCUGUUAAACAGCCCUUUCUGACGUCAUUCCUUAGAGGUACAGCGCUCAGUUUCAUCACUGUUUGGGGCCUUUUUCAAUUCAAAUGAGAUUUGUGCAGCUUAAGCAAGACAACCCCCUUCAAUUAGUCCUUUGUGGAACAAUAAAGUAUUUUAUAAGAGACGAAAAUCAGUACAGCAGAAUGAGUAAAUGGGAAAUUAAUUCAGUUUUUGGUUUGUUUAGACAAUAAUAGAAAUAAACUAAAGUACGAGUAACUUCAAUCUAAACUAUUCAUUCAACUUCCCAAGGUGCUAAAUCAUUAGAUUAGAUGUAAGAUGCCAUAUUAUUAGUAAACUAAUAGUCAUGACAGCACCACUAUUAAGGAAGUUUUUUUCUAAAUGUAAUGAUAAUCUUCUCAAAACCAAUUAAAUAUAGAACUGUUCCUAGGCCCAAUAUUAAUUUAAUGGACUGUGCAAUAAAGUCUUAUUGAAAUUAAACAAGAUAUUUAUGUAAUUCAUUGCGCAAUCAAUUGGAUCAAAAUCCAAUUAAAUAUACUUCUUAUCUAUCCCUCCGUAUAUAUUAGACUCCAUUUUUACUUAGAUUGAAAAGCUGCAAAAUGGUGCAAAUGUGGUUGUUCAAAUGUAUUUUUUUAAAUAAUUAUAAUUAUAUAUGUAUUUAUUUUAAUACCAGCGAGCCCCCAAAGAGUCUAUAAAUAGUGAUAAACAGAUUCAUGAAUGUGUUUCUGUCAAUUGUUUUUUCUUCAAAAUGUUAUUUUAGGAGGAAGAACCCCAAAACCCAGGGAUUGUGGAUGGUGGGCUACUUUGUAGAAUCACACAUAUCUUCAUAACCACCAUGUCAGCACAGAAGUAUGCUAAACUAGUCAAUGAAUUGAACUAGUUGGGUCUGCAGAUUUUCUCAGUCCUUUGUAAUCUUCCACAUUACCACUAUAAUGUUACACAUUUCCCAAUAUAACAUCCUGUAUGGAGAACAUGCAUAAUCAUAGGAUGACAAUAAGAGAACAAACUAAGUUCACUCAAAAAUUCUCUCUCUAAAUGAGAAUGGACCAGCGUGCAAGUAAACCUAAGAGCUGAAUGAUGAGCAUGAAAGCAGCUCCUCCACAGUGCACGCGUGAUCUGCAGCCUUCAUGUUCUCCAUCUCAGAGCGAGGGGGCCAGCGGAGGGGCUUUCGGUUCAGCUAAUGACAAAACAAGCUGUGAGGUGAUCUAAUGUUUUGGCAACAACUUGCUUUAAUUAACUAAUUCAGGAUGACCUCAGCUCUAAGGAGCGUUUUGUCUACUAGUGUGUGCAAAGGAGGACACAACACUCGCCGCACUGUUUCCAUGAGAACAAUCAUCGUUUUCUCCUCCACGAAAGACUGAAGGGUGGGUGUCGAUAGAGAACACCUGGCAAACAAGAUGUUGUGGUAGGAACUUGUUCUGGGUUUCGCACACAUCCUCCCUUGAAACGCUGCUUGUUUCCAGCAGACGGCGAGCCUCAUGGUUGGUUGGCGCCGCUCGCUGCUGCCUGCCACCAGGCGUUUGCUGAAGCUUUUAAAAAUCAGCCCCCUUAUUUUGAUUCAACGGAGCCUCAGUGUUGGCACAGCGGGGCUUCUGACGCAACAGGAUCUGGAAACAACACGUCUUUGUUGGCCAGAGGACUCGAGCCGGACCCGUCUCAACGCAAUGAGACGUCCGCCGUUAAAAGAACGUCUAAAACGGCCUUUUAGCCGUCUACAGCCCGUAGCUCUGCAACACAGACAGCAACUCGAAAUGAGGACAAAACAAUCAGAGGAGAGUUGCUUACAAGAUCCGUAGUUUUGAUAACAAGCACCGGGACAGUGUCUACGAGCAUGGAUGCUUUCCUGGAAAGUAAUCAAGGUGGCAAUCUUUAUCUGCAUGAAUCGGUGCAUUGAAGAAGCACAAGGAUAACUUUACAAAAUGUGCUACCAGGAAUGUGUGAUGGCCCACAACGCACCGGGUUCCACAGAAGUCCGGGGUCAUUCACUGUUCAUACGAGAAAGUAAUGCACCCUUAUUCGUUAAUAAAAGCUUCCAUGCACCCUCCAUGACUUCUACUAAUGGGAAACCAAAAGAGUUAAAGAAUCUCUGGAUAAAAUGUUUGUAUCCCAAAACAAGUCUUUACAGUUUCUAAAGCAGCGUUGAAAGAGAGCUGGAAAUCCAACAUGGCAACACGAGGCAAAGACACGAGGCUCGGUGUCAGACUGUGGCUUUAUUUAGUAAGCACGUCUUUCUCACUUGAGUACCGUGAAGCCUGGCAGGUCUUAAUUUCUCUGGUUACAUAACACCUAUUAUCUCCUUCAUGCAGGGCUCGAGUUCCUCCAUUAACCCCCAUAACUUAAAAACACUCAGAUAUCUGAGCUGAAAACACUACAACAACUUAAGUAUUAAUUCAUUUUCAACUUCUUGGGGACAGAAGCCUGUGAACUUGUGCCUAUCAACAGCGCUGCUUCCCUUCUUCAAUAGAAGAGCAAACAUUCCCCCCCGGCCACCGCGCCAUGUUUGCCAGCGCCUCGCGUUAGAUAAGCACGCAGUUAAACAGCAGGCCGCUGUUUACAGCCCCCACCUGCGCCGGACGAUUGUCUUUCCCAGUUAAGGAGGAGGAAGUCACGAAGGCUCAGACUUUGACCCUCGCUCGAACCGCCCGACUUCAGACGGGAGGAAAUUAUUUAGGGGCCCCGUGUGAGACGCCACGUCAUCGCUGUGGUUGUUUUUGGUUUUCCCGGACAGCAGCAUGCUGUAAAGCAGGCGGCGAUACACGGUUUAUAAUGCCUCAUUAAUGCACAUGAGGUGGGGAUUAUACUUCACAAGUGGCCUCUAGCAUUUCCUUCAUAAGAGGUUUCUCAGUAAUGAUGUUUUUGUGGAUUGGGGUAAACCAUCUGUAAACGCGGAUAUGUUGUCACCUUCUAAAGUUCUUAUGCUGAAGGAGGAUUGUAUCUCCGAUAUUUACUUUUACCCACAAAAAAGGGCAAAAAGGGACCAAUAAAUCUCUGCCGGUUCAUCGUUUCUCAACUUUCUCAUUCAAAACUAACACGAGGAGGCAGAGAGGACUCACACAUUUAUUCACAUCGAUUCCCGACCUCUUAUCAUAUCUGCAUCUAAAGUAAAUAAAUCAUAUAGAAUGAACUUCCAAACAGAAAAAAAGACAAUUGAACAAAGAAAUGGAAGCCUAUAAAGCAAACACGCUUUUCCCCUUGAGGGUUAUUCUUCUUUCGGCAGAACUGUGAUGGGGGAGGAUGAAGAUACUGAAACUUACACCUUGAAGCUCGUAGCCAAUCAACACAUUUCAAUUGGAUCUUUACUGCAAACUAUUAAAUGAGUCGACUCAGAAUAUUUCUAUUAGGCUUUCAAAUAGGACUGGAUUUCGUUUAAAAAAUAAAGAAGCCCAUACCCUUAAAGUGAUAGAACCUCAUGAAAUCCCAGAAGGGUCCUCAGGCAAUCGGCAGGAACCUUGAAUGGAAUAGUAAAUUAAAACAAGCAUUGUGUAGCGUGUCCAGGAGAGAUUUUCCUCGUACUUCUCGCCUCGACCAUUCGUGUUGAUUUGUGACGUUCUUUUAUCAGGAAUAACACCAGAGCUAUUUGUGGGGCUGGUUUCCUGCUAUUCAGGAGGCUGCUGUCGGAGAAAGGCCUGGAUCCAGGUACUCCAUCACAUCCCGCAGCUCUCAAGUAUUACACUUGAAUCAUCUCACGUUAUUUCUCCUUCCUCAUCAACACACCGGCGGCAACUAUUCACGGACGUCUGAAGAAGUUGGAGUUCAAAAAAAAACAAAAAAGAAACGCUGUUAUUGGAAGUCACAGUCAUAUUAUUCCGGCUCCUGGAAACCCUUUUCCUGGAUACUGUUCUGUUGUUGUUUAUUGGACACAUCAUAAAUGAAACACUGGGCGAUUAUCUCGAGCCUUUUUAUUUUCAAGCAACGUGUUAAGGGAUAAAAACAGAGCGUGUAAAAACUGUCCCCAGAGAGACGACAGGAAAGGAAACACGAUGGGGGUGAAAGGAGCAGUUUUCCCGGGAUGCACACUGGACUUGCAGCAGAGCUCGCCGCAGCGUUCCUCAGGGUUUUUUUAAUGGUAGCGUACAGCCGCGUUACCUCCACUCGCUGGAAUGUGAGAAAAAAACGGAAAAACUGACACGGGCACAUAAAGAGGCUGCUACAUUCAGCUCCUCUGUGAGCUCAUAAGAGUCAACAAAUCACUCACAUGUGGCCUGAAACCACCGAGAGGAGGAUAGAAAACUGUUUAUAUUCACAACUCAACAUGCUAAAUGCAGCAGAUCCCCGUCUGCUCAUCUGUCAGCUUGCAGCCCAUUGGUUCCCUUUUGUUGGUCCAUAGUUUGACGUACUACUGAAUGAUCCGUUUCCACCCCAACAGCAUGCAGGCAAACAGAGCCUGUGCAAGCUUAAAUCAAACAAAGAGUUGUUGUUGCGGAGUUUGGCUUCAUGCAAGUAAUUGAAUAAUUGGUGGAAAUGUUCUUAGUUCGUCUGGUAUUUAGGACGUCGAUAUUAAACGGUAUAAGUUCAGCACGCGGGACACUGCGGGUGUGGCAACAGCAUCAAAAGGACGAGACCCCAAACGCUGUGAUCAAAAGCUCGUUUCCUCUGCGACCUCGCUGGAGUGAUGGGGGGGGUCGAGGUAAAAGCCCCUUCAGGCAAACACACAAGCUGACCCGGGAGCUUCUGCUGGGCGACGUGAGAGAAACACCUUUGGCGCUACUCAUCUUCUUGCUCACGCUUUCUGUGUUUAAAACAUCAUGUAUAUAUCUACGGUUAAUAUUAUCCCGAAAACACAAUAAUUACACAUAAAUCUAAAAGUAGUGUGUAACUGUAGUGUGUUUGAGUUGUUUGUAGUAAAGAUGGAAAUAUACAACAUUAUGAAGUAUAAAGUCUCCUUUAGGAAUCUAAACAAGAGUAUAUGCUAAAGCGCACUAAUUCACGAGAUCUCAAAGAAAUACAUGAACGCAACCUUUUAACACCAGGGAGCUGUGACGUGUAACGUGUGAAACCCUGAAAAAUAUUCAAUAUUAAUUAUUACACACAUUAUUGCUUCAGACAAACUAUUCAAACAGUCGCCCUUCGUGUAUGGAUACACAUAUACACAUUAUAUAUAUCUAUAUAUAUAAACAAAGGUUUGUGUGUGUGUGUGUGUGUGUGUGUGUGUGUGUGUGUGUGUGUGUGUGUGUGUGGUAACGGGUCAGCAGGCAUGUGUGUGGGUGGAGGAGCAAAGGUCAAGGUCAACAAUUUCAGGUCAGGUGAUCACAGAGUUGGGACAGAUGGUGAUUUACCACCAUUGCAGACCUCACUGGGGUCCCAGAUGCAAGUCAAUGGACAUGAAGACAAGAGGGGAAGAAGGGAAGAAGGCACAAUGUCUGAACUGUGCAAGGACAGAUUCUUAAAUAAUGGGUGGCAAACAAAAGAAGGAGGGUUUUAUCCUUUUCUCUCUCUGGCCAAUAAUGCAUUCGAGUUGACAGCAUUGCCGGUUUGAUACCUCUCUCUCGUAACUCAGACAAAUAUGCAGCUAUUUCCUUAAAAAAGUGGUUUGUUGGUUAAAUAAGUCUUUGUUAUGUACGUUAAGUUUAUUUUCUUUGGUAUGACCCUUAAAAUGUAGUUUUUUUGUUUCACAUUGGACAUCGAUAGGGAACAGUAGCCUCGGUCUUCCCAUCCACACACACGAAUCCCCCCCAUCCCAGACCGAUUGCGUAGAGGAGCAGUUCUUCAGGUAAUGGAACAACAUUGGUGUUUGUUAUUAAACUUACUUGCAUUCUCUCUACUAAGCAGCAGGGGGCGACUUCUCAAUCUCUUGUUUCAAGUCAAAGUCAACAUAGUGUUGGAGUAAGUAAAGACGCGUUUACACAUUUACCCGGAUUCAGGCCCAAAUGUGCGUUAAAACGGCACCAACCGCGUGAGUUGACAUUUAUUGCGUAGCGUUUGUUAAGAGCGGAAGGAGAAGAUGUGCUCUUUUUUAUUCUAGUGUUAUAUUAGCCUUCAGUAAGAAAGUAUUCAUGAAAAAAUAAAUGCUUUAAAAUGCAAAUAACUGCCCAGUGUGUGGAGACCUUCUCAGCAAGUACGCAAAUAAACCUAUUUUCCAAAUUGAAUGAAUCCUUUAUGUAAAAUGAAAUGUUAACAAGUUACUCACUUAAACACUCCAUUGCCAUAAAUCGAACUGACUAACUAGCGAAAAAGACUGCUGGUGCCAAAGACACACAGCAACAGUGCGAAUGUGUGCCAAAGGUUACACAAAACUCAUGAAUAAGAUCGCUUCCAUCUCUUCCCCUUCACCCACCUCCACUUCCCUUCUUUGCAGACGAGCAGCUGCUCCCCGCACCUCUCCGUCUGAGCGAGGGAUGAUCCCCAGAGAGGAAAAGGGGGGACGCAGGGAGACAAGAGGUGGAGGAAAGAGGGGUGGGCAGGACGGAGGGAGGCAGCGGAUGGGUGCGACUAGACGCGGGUCAGGCUGUGACCGGCUCUUUUGUGUUGGAGCCCCCUCCGUCACCACCGCCAACACACACACACACACACACAGUCCUCUGCUGCCUUUGGGAGUCCCGGCCCAACAGACCCCCACCCACACACUCAUUAUGGGGUUUAACCACAAGCGUAUGAUAUGGGGUUUGGGAGUCGGGGUCAGAGGGGAGGGAAGACCUCCCAACACACACACACACACACACAGGGGCCCAUGGGAGGAGAUAAGCCAUAAUCACUCCAUUCUGUCAUCUUCUCUUUCUCCAACCAGCCUCCACCUGUAAUGUUAUCUCUUUUCCUGCACCCUUUGUGUGUGUGUGCUUUUUUUUAAAGAAAUAGUGCUGGUUCAAAAACACGUUGUGUUAAUUAAAGAAAAGCAGGUCACAAAACUUCCCCUUGCUUCUACACGGCAGCGACUGCAGCACUGUGACGUGUUCAAAGAAACGUCCUUGUUUAACGGAGCCGUUUGGUGCAAGUGUGGAGAGAACAGUCCUAAAGCCUUUAACGUCAUGCUCAAGGGCACAGUAGCAGAAGGAAAAAGGACUUUUGGUGUCAAGAUUUACUUAAAUGAAUACCUGGAUAUUUACUUGCUGUUUUUGCCAAGAGUUAAAUGAGACUAUUUAUACCACACUCAUGUGAGUUUUAGGUUUUUCCCUUUCCAAUAUUAUUGAACUAAAUGGAUCCA